UACGGAGGGGGCUAGCGUUGUUCGGAAUCACUGGGCGUAAAGCGCACGCAGGCGGAUCGAUAAGUCGGGGGUGAAAGCCCGGGGCUCAACCUCGGAAUUGCCUGCGAUACUGGCGGUCUCGAGUCCGGGAGAGGUGAGUGGAAUUCCUAGUGUAGAGGUGAAAUUCGUAGAUAUUAGGAAGAACACCAGUGGCGAAGGCGGGUCACUGGCCCGGUACUGACGCUCAGGUGCGAAAGCGUGGGGAGCAAACAGG
rnacentral:rRNA from 1 species